UACGUAGGCAACCUGCCCUCAAGCUUGGGACAACUACCGGAAACGGUAGCUAAUACCGAAUACUUGCUUCCUUCGCCUGAAGGGAGCUGGAAAGACGGAGCAAUCUGUCACUUGAGGAUGGGCCUGCGGCGCAUUAGCUAGUUGGUGAGGUAACGGCUCACCAAGGCGACGAUGCGUAGCCGACCUGAGAGGGUGAUCGGCCACACUGGGACUGAGACACGGCCCAGACUCCUACGGGAGGCAGCAGUAGGGAAUCUUCCGCAAUGGGCGAAAGCCUGACGGAGCAAUGCCGCGUGAGUGAUGAAGGUUUUCGGAUCGUAAAGCUCUGUUGCCAGGGAAGAACGUCCUUGAGAGUAACUGCUCAAGGAGUGACGGUACCUGAGAAGAAAGCCCCGGCUAACUACGUGCCAGCAGCCGCGGUAAUACGUAGGGGGCAAGCGUUGUCCGGAAUUAUUGGGCGUAAAGCGCGCGCAGGCGGUCAUUUAAGUCUGGUGUUUAAUCCCGGGGCUCAACCCCGGAUCGCACUGGAAACUGGAUGACUUGAGUGCAGAAGAGGAGAGUGGAAUUCCACGUGUAGCGGUGAAAUGCGUAGAGAUGUGG
rnacentral:rRNA from 1 species